AAGGUUGCCGAAUGCUGCUCUCAAUCAUACACGAAACAACCUACCUUCCAAUUAAAUCAAAGUCUCCCAGAGGGCACAGACUGCCUUAUUCAUCCUUGCUAUCCCCUCGGCCUCCAACCUGGGAGAUUUCGUUAUUGAUGCAGUGGACCUUAAAAUGCUUGCUCAAUUAAAUGGAUUUAACCUGUAUUGAAGCAAUCCUAGACCUCCUUCUAAAAAUGUAAAAAUUGAGGCGAAAAUCACAUUUGCCGCAACCUUCAUUAGGUGAGACAAAUCCUGGAGGUCAAGAUCGAUUGCUCUAACAGCAGAACAAGGACAAGCCUAAACUGAAGCAGAUGCUACAUGUGCAGCAAUCUCUUUUUAAGAUGUGUUCUUCGCCUAAUAGUGCGGCAAGCAAGGGAACAUCAUCUUACACAAGACGCGGUAAAACAAGAAAGAAAACCGAGGAAGGCACUGCGUCUAACUAUUACUGCCAGGAAGUCUCCUUACAAAUGACAGAAGAUUAUUUCGGCGACAAGAUAAAGUGUGUUCAAGGAGCGAGCCCUCUGAAGAGCAGCAGGCUGUAAGCGCCCCUCCACGCCUCCCUCCCACGUCCAAUGACGUCACAUGGGGGAUGGAACAGUCAACAAGGCCGAAGGGUCCCUGUCAGCACCCGCGCUGCGAGGGGAGUACAAAGCAGACAGCUCUGACUGUCGUCAGGAAAACCUACCUCAAAUGUUUAUCUCACAUUUUUGUUUAGCUUUCCGGGGAGCGUUUAGGAUCUAGACGCAGAACCUCGGAGCUCCUGACCGAUUAAGUUAAUGCAGUAAGAAAAAAGGCACUGGUCUCAGGGGACAAAGUAACCAAACCGAUUCUUUGAUGUACUGUUAUCAGACAACCAUUAAACAUGAUUUUCUUAGUUUUUCCAAGCAAGUGUUUGAAUGUCUGCUUUGGUACGGAGUUAUCAGAAGAUAUGGCACCUACCGGGUUCACUUUGUUUUGCUUAAAUGUAAGAGUAGCUGUAUCCGCGAGUGGAAUACUAGGCUGUUAUAUGGGUUAUAGCAGUGCAUUUGCAGACAUGGGAAAACACUUAGUUGAAUGUUAUUAGAUGCAAAAAGCAAAUCACAAAAUAGUUUGCAUUGUAUGAACCCUUUGCAGGGAAAGGCAAAAAUAUUUACAAGGACAUGAGCUAGUGUAUUAAGUAGGUGACACUGUGUUUCUUGUUUUUUUUCCCCCCUUUUACUUGUUGACUUCUAAUUUUUAUAAAAUGACUAUAUAUCCUUUGGUACAGUUAACAAAAAAUAAUAUUUUAAAAACAGUAAUAGCAUCAGAGAAAAGGCCGCUGUAACAGAAUUUUCCAGAGUCGUGACGUAGUCCAACAUGGCUUCACAGGCCAAGUCUCAACUAUUAGCAGGCACUCAGAUCUGAAAAAAUUAUUUCUGGAAUAGCAGGAACACUUCUUGUAAUAAGCCAGAGGCUCAAGGAUCCCUGAGAAGCAUUUGAGAGAGAGCGUAUGUUUUGAAACAAGUCAGACAGGGCACAUGCCCUCUGAGAAAUGUCAACAAGAUGGCACAGGAGGACACCCGGAAGCCACCGGCACUGCCUGUUUCCUGUCACUCUCUGGAGCCCACAGUGACAGGGUUCCCAGAAAGCGCCUUUUCAGAGAGUAUCUUCGUUUUGGUCUGUUCCUGAAUCACUGUGGCUGCUCACCCGCACUGUUCUUAGGGGUCUGUCACUAGACCGGUAGACCGGACGUGGAGACAAAAGUGGACACGGAAUUGGGGGGUCGCGCCAAGGUGCUGCGUGGGGCCCUGGACAAGGUUCCUCUCCUUAUGUGUGUAAUUAGGUUUCAUCCUUUUGUGAUCCAUGUGGAGCCACCUGGCUUUUCCUUCCCCAUUCUAUACUCAAAGAACCUUAGAGAUAGAAUUUUAAAAUUGUAAUGUAUUAAAAAAAUACCUUGUAAACUGCUGCAUGGAAAAUGCUAGAAGUAUCUCGGAGAUGGUAUGAGUAACUAUCUUACAGGAAUGUUGGGAAUAUUAACUAUUAAAAUUAGCAUAGUGCUUGACAUAUAAAUCAUAUUAUAAAUGCUAGCUGCUGUUAAAAAUUAUUUUAAAAAAAUCUUUUAGAGUUUA